rnacentral:lncRNA from 1 species
CGGUCGGUUUGGUCGGUUGUAGUGGCCUCGCCGCCCGGUCCGCUGUCGCAGCGCUCAUCCGCGCCGGGAGCCCUUGGCUGCGUCGCCCGGCAGCCGCGGCAGGCUGAUUGGCGCUGGUUUCCAUCUGUCAGAUUGGACAGCAGUACCACUGGCUGUUGGGGGCUCACGACCAGAUAGAGUCUUGUCUGGGAACCACAAGUGAGUGUUGUUACCACAGCUCUGCAGCAGUGAGGGCACCUCUCAAUCCACGUGCAGUCGCCCCACCUUAUCUUCAGGGGAUACGGUCCAACACCCUCAAUGGAUGCCUGAAAUCAAGGAUAGUAGUGAACACUAUAUACACUGUUUUGUUAUGCAUCCUUCCAUAUCUACGAUAAAGUUUAAUUCAUAAACUAGGCACAGGAAGAGAUUAAUAACAGCUAAUAAUAAAAUAGAACAGUCGUAACAAUAUACUGUAAUAAAAGUCAUGUGAAAGUGAUGUCUCUCUCCUAAAAUAUCUUACUGUAUUGUACGCACAUGUUUUUGAACUGCAGUUCACCGAGGGUUACUGAAUCCAUGGAUAAGGGGAGAUUACAGCAGUUUCUUUUCUGACUAUGUUAUUGAGACUUCAAAACUAACUAAAUUGUUCGUUGAAUGGAAUUGUCCAAGGUGUACAAAAUGACAGUUGUAACACAAAGGUGUUUCACUGACAUCCCUGUCACGUUUUUGCUAAACUAAUGCACUUUUAAAAAGGAGCAUUUCCUGAAGACGUAGUCAUGCAGCACGUCAGCAGCUCCCAGAGCAGCCAGCGCCAUGUCCAGUGGCCUGGGGCCUGCCCCGGCGCGGGCGAGGAGCAGCCAGCGUGCUCCCAGCCGUCCCUGCCCCUCACACUGCCAUCCCCCAGCCACCAACUACAGCAGCUGAUGGUCCAGACCCAGAGUCCCACGCAGCCCAGUCCGGGGCCGGGGCAGGCCUUGCAGAAUGUGCGUGCAGGUGCCCCUGGCCCUGGGCUGGGCCUCUGCAGCAGCAGCCCUACAGGGGACUUCGUGGAUGCCAGCGUGCUGGUGAGGCAGAUCAGCUUGAGCCCCUCCAGUGGUGGACACUUUGUGUUU